rnacentral:rRNA from 1 species
AAACUAACAAGGAUUCCCCUAGUAACUGCGAGUGAAGCGGGAAAAGCUCAAAUUUAAAAUCCCUCGGGGAGUUGUAAUCUAGAGACGUGUUUUCGGUCGUUGCCUCGGACAAGUCCCUUGGAACAGGGCGUCAUAGAGGGUGAGAAUCCCGUACUUGCCGAGCUCCCAACGACUAUGUGAUACACGUUCGAAGAGUCGAGUUGUUUGGGAAUGCAGCUCAAAAUGGGUGGUAAACUCCAUCUAAAGCUAAAUAUUGGCGAGAGACCGAUAGCGAACAAGUACCGUGAGGGAAAGAUGAAAAGCACUUUGGAAAGAGAGUUAAACAGUACGUGAAAUUGUUGAAAGGGAAGCGCUUGAAGUCAGUCGCGUUGCAGGGACUCAGCCGUCAAGGUGCAUUUCUCUGCAACGGGUCAACAUCAAUUUCGGCCGCGGGAAAAGGGCUUGGGGAAUGUGGCAGCUUCGGCUGUGUUAUAGGCUCUUGUCGUACACCGUGGCCGGGAUUGAGGACUGCUAUUACAGGAUGUUGACAAAAUGGCUUUAAGCGACCCGUCUUGAAACACGGACCAAGGAGUCUAACAUGUCUGCGAGUGUUCGGGUGUCAAACCCGUGCGCGUAAUGAAAGUAAACGUAGGUGGGAGGCUUCGGCCGCACCAUCGACCGAUCCGGAUCUCUUGUGAUGGAUUUGAGUAAGAGCAUAUAUGUUGGGACCCGAAAGAUGGUGAACUAUGCCUGAAUAGGGCGAAGCCAGAGGAAACUCUGGUGGAGGCUCGUAGCGAUUCUGACGUGCAAAUCGAUCGUCAAAUUUGGGUAUAGGGGCGAAAGACUAAUCGAACCAUCUAGUAGACUGGNNNNNN